rnacentral:rRNA from 1 species
CAGGCUUAACACAUGCAAGUCGAGGGGCAGCAUGGUCUUAGCUUGCUAAGGCCGAUGGCGACCGGCGCACGGGUGAGUAACGCGUAUCCAACCUGCCUUACACUCUUGGACAGCCUUCUGAAAGGGAGAUUAAUACAAGAUGUUAUCAUGAGUAAGCAUUUUCGCAUGAUUAAAGGUUUACCGGUGUAAGAUGGGGAUGCGUUCCAUUAGAUAGUAGGCGGGGUAACGGCCCACCUAGUCUUCGAUGGAUAGGGGUUCUGAGAGGAAGGUCCCCCACAUUGGAACUGAGACACGGUCCAAACUCCUACGGGAGGCAGCAGUGAGGAAUAUUGGUCAAUGGACGAGAGUCUGAGCCAGCCAAGUAGCGUGAAGGAUGAAGGUUCUAUGGAUUGUAAACUUCUUUUAUACGGGAAUAAACGAAUCCACGUGUGGAUUUUUGCAUGUACCGUAUGAAUAAGGAUCGGCUAACUCCGUGCCAGCAGCCGCGGUAAUACGGAGGAUCCGAGCGUUAUCCGGAUUUAUUGGGUUUAAAGGGAGCGUAGAUGGGUUGUUAAGUCAGUUGUGAAAGUUUGCGGCUCAACCGUAAAAUUGCAAUUGAUACUGGCAGUCUUGAGUACAGUUGAGGUAGGCGGAAUUCGUGGUGUAGGGGUGAAAUGCUUAGAUAUCACGAAGAACUCCGAUUGCGAAGGCAGCUUACUAACCUGUAACUGACAUUGAUGCUCGAAAGUGUGGGUAUCAAACAGGAUUAGAUACCCUGGUAGUCCACACGGUAAACGAUGAAUACUCGCUGUAGGCGAUAUACAGUCUGCGGCCAAGAGAAAGCAUUAAGUAUUCCACCUGGGGAGUACGCCGGCAACGGUGAAACUCAAAGGAAUUGACGGGGGCCCGCACAAGCGGAGGAACAUGUGGUUUAAUUCGAUGAUACGCGAGGAACCUUACCCGGGCUUAAAUUGCAACCGAAUAUGGCGGAAACGCUAUAGCUAGCAAUAGCGGUUGUGAAGGUGCUGCAUGGUUGUCGUCAGCUCGUGCCGUGAGGUGUCGGCUUAAGUGCCAUAACGAGCGCAACCCUUGCCGAUAGUUACUAACAGGUCAUGCUGAGGACUCUGUCGGGACUGCCAUCGUAAGAUGUGAGGAAGGUGGGGAUGACGUCAAAUCAGCACGGCCCUUACGUCCGGGGCUACACACGUGUUACAAUGGGGGGUACGGAGGGCUGCUACCACGCAAGUGGAUGCCAAUCCCAAAAACCUCUCUCAGUUCGGAUUGAAGUCUGCAACCCGACUUCAUGAAGCUGGAUUCGCUAGUAAUCGCGCAUCAGCCACGGCGCGGUGAAUACGUUCCCGGGCCUUGUACACACCGCCCGUCAAGCCAUGGGAGCCGGGGGUACCUGAAGUGCGUAACCGCAAGGAGCGCCCUAGGGUAAAACUGGUGACUGGGGCUAAG